AUACAUUUAUUUUGUACCUCCUCUAUUAAACAAUUUUUUAAUUUACCUUGAAAAAUGUGAAAAAUCGAACUCUUAACUAAAGAUCACUAGCUUUUUAGGAAGAAUUUGGAUUUUUAUUUAUUGUCAGAAUUUAAUCUUCAUUCUCUUUGCUUUCUUCAAUAUUGCCUCAACAAGUUCCUGUGGUUCACGAUACUUGAAAUAUAUACAAUGUUACCAGCGUGGAAAUUGUCUUGGAAACUUGGAAAAUCUUUCAAGAGGAACAACAUUGCUAACUGAGAUUCGAGAAAGGAAAGGUAUCUCAUGAUCAUGUGAUAACACACAGGAAGAAAGAAUAGAGGAAAAAACAGCGUAAGAAAAAGUUGCGUAAGAGUAUCGUCGCACUACAUCAUUCGACAAUUGAUGCACGUCAUGGCGAUCGUCACGGUUUAAAGCAGGCCAUCAAAAACACGUUUGUUAUCGUACGGAAAAAUCUGCGACGUUCCAGCUGUUCAGGUGCAUCGAAUUGUGAAUCAUCGGCGGUACGAAGCAAGGCGAGGGGCGUAAAUAGAGAAAGAA